rnacentral:rRNA from 1 species
CGUAGGUGGCAAGCGUUGUCCGGAUUUAUUGGGUUUAAAGGGUGCGUAGGCGGUUUAAUAAGUCAGUGGUGAAAUACGGCAGCUCAACUGUCGAGGUGCCAUUGAUACUGUUGGACUUGAGUACAGACGAGGUAGGCGGAAUUGACGGUGUAGCGGUGAAAUGCUUAGAUAUCGUCAAGAACACCGAUAGCGAAGGCAGCUUACUAGGCUGUAACUGACGCUGAGGCACGAAAGUGUGGGGAUCAAACAGGAUUAGAUACCCUGGUAGUCCACACUGUAAACGAUGAUUACUCGAUGUUGGCGAUACACAGCCAGCGUCUUAGCGAAAGCGAUAAGUAAUCCACCUGGGGAGUACGCCGGCAACGGUG